AUGGGUGUGCCCACUCAGCUCCUGGGGUUGUUGCUGCUGUGGAUAACAGAUGGAAUAUGUGACAUCCAGAUGACACAGUCUCCAGCUUCCCUGUCUGCAUCUCUGGGAGAAACUGUCACCAUCGAAUGUCUAGCAAGUGAAGACAUUUACAGUAAUUUAGCGUGGUAUCAGCAGAAGCCAGGGAAAUCUCCUCAGCUCCUGAUCUAUGAUGCAAGUAGCUUGCAAGAUGGGGUCCCAUCACGGUUCAGUGGCAGUGAAUCUGGCACACAGUAUUCUCUCGAGAUCAACAGCCUGCAAUCUGAAGAUGCCGCGACUUAUUUCUGUCAACAGCAUCAUGAUUAUCCUCCCACAGUGAUUCAAGCCAUGACAUAAACCAUGCAGGGAAGCAGAAGUGAGAGUACAGGGUGCCCCAGCUGAUCCUCAUGAUGACUCCAGCUGCUCAGCUGCUGUGUUUUCUUUGCCAGGGAUAAAUGUCAAUGUAAUCUUUUUACAUAGGAGUCAGAGAAACUGUUCUGUGUCCUAAAUCCUUGUUUUCCCACAUGACUAUUAUGAAAAGAAUGGAAUGGUUUACACUACUUAUUAAAAAAAGGAAAAUAAAAACACUGAAAUACCU